UUUUUGCGCGCUUGACUCUUGCCCCCCACACGCGCGGCGGCGGCGGCGGCGGCGGGUG
rnacentral:miRNA from 1 species